AUUGAACGCUGGCGGCAUGCUUUACACAUGCAAGUCGAACGGUAACAGGGAGCUUGCUCCGCUGACGAGUGGCGAACGGGUGAGUAAUAUAUCGGAACGUACCCAGAAGUGGGGGAUAACGUAGCGAAAGUUACGCUAAUACCGCAUACGAUCCACGGAUGAAAGUAGGGGACCUUCGGGCCUUAUGCUUUUGGAGCGGCCGAUAUCUGAUUAGCUAGUUGGUGAGGUAAAGGCUCACCAAGGCGACGAUCAGUAGCUGGUCUGAGAGGACGACCAGCCACACUGGAACUGAGACACGGUCCAGACUCCUACGGGAGGCAGCAGUGGGGAAUUUUGGACAAUGGGCGCAAGCCUGAUCCAGCAAUGCCGCGUGAGUGAAGAAGGCCUUCGGGUUGUAAAGCUCUUUUGUCAGGGAAGAAACGGGAGUGGCUAAUAUCCAUUCUUAAUGACGGUACCUGAAGAAUAAGCACCGGCUAACUACGUGCCAGCCGCCGCGGUAAGAC
rnacentral:rRNA from 1 species